GUGGGGAAUAUUGGACAAUGGGGGGAACCCUGAUCCAGCCAUGCCGCGUGUGUGAAGAAGGCCUUUUGGUUGUAAAGCACUUUAAGCGAGGAGGAGGCUCCUUUAGUUAAUACCUAAAGAGAGUGGACGUUACUCGCAGAAUAAGCACCGGCUAACUCUGUGCCAGCAGCCGCGGUAAUACAGAGGGUGCGAGCGUUAAUCGGAUUUACUGGGCGUAAAGCGUGCGUAGGCGGCUUUUUAAGUCGGAUGUGAAAUCCCUGAGCUUAACUUAGGAAUUGCAUUCGAUACUGGAAAGCUAGAGUAUGGGAGAGGAUGGUAGAAUUCCAGGUGUAGCGGUGAAAUGCGUAGAGAUCUGGAGGAAUACCGAUGGCGAAGGCAGCCAUCUGGCCUAAUACUGACGCUGAGGUACGAAAGCAUGGGGAGCAAACAGGAUUAGAUACCCGAGUAGUCC
rnacentral:rRNA from 1 species